rnacentral:rRNA from 1 species
GUGUCAGCAGCCGCGGUAAGACGGAGGGGGCUAGCGUUGUUCGGAAUUACUGGGCGUAAAGCGCGCGUAGGCGGUUUGCCAAGUUGAGGGUGAAAUCCCGGGGCUCAACCUCGGAACGGCCUUCAAAACUGGCAGGCUUGAGUGCGGAAGAGGAGAGUGGAAUUCCCAGUGUAGAGGUGAAAUUCGUAGAUAUUGGGAAGAACACCGGUGGCGAAGGCGGCUCUCUGGUCCGGCACUGACGCUGAGCCGCGAAAGCGUGGGGAGCAAACAGGAUUAGAUACCCUGGUAGUCCACGCCGUAAACGAUGAGUGCCAGACGUCGGGCGGCAUGCCGCUCGGUGUCGCAGCUAACGCGUUAAGCACUCCGCCUGGGGAGUACGGCCGCAAGGUUAAAACUUAAAGGAAUUGACGGGG